rnacentral:rRNA from 1 species
AUUGAACGCUGGCGGCAUGCUUUACACAUGCAAGUCGAACGGUAACAGGCCGCAAGGUGCUGACGAGUGGCGAACGGGUGAGUAAUGCAUCGGAACGUGCCCAGUCGUGGGGGAUAACUACUCGAAAGAGUAGCUAAUACCGCAUACGAUCUAUGGAUGAAAGCGGGGGACCGUAAGGCCUCGCGCGAUUGGAGCGGCCGAUGUCAGAUUAGGUAGUUGGUGGGGUAAAGGCUCACCAAGCCAACGAUCUGUAGCUGGUCUGAGAGGACGACCAGCCACAUUGGGACUGAGACACGGCCCAGACUCCUACGGGAGGCAGCAGUGGGGAAUUUUGGACAAUGGGCGCAAGCCUGAUCCAGCAAUGCCGCGUGCAGGAAGAAGGCCUUCGGGUUGUAAACUGCUUUUGUACGGAACGAAACGGCUCUGGUUAAUACCCGGGGCUAAUGACGGUACCGUAAGAAUAAGCACCGGCUAACUACGUG